GCAGAGUGUAUGUGUAAACAGCAGGGAGAGAACGCAUGCAAUUUGAAUUGAAAAACUGUGGAAGAGUGCUGAAGUCGAAAAGCACUUGUUGCUUUCUGUGAUUGUUUACUGAGACAUUCUGACUGGUUUUUGGUUCCUGGACAAAUUGUUGGAGGAUGUGAUUGACCCCUGAAUCAUCUGAGUGGAUUCUUCUGGAUAUCUCUUUGUCAUUUUGCCCUGUGUUUCAACUCUUCCGCUCUUGUUCUUCUGUUCUUGAGAACCUGGAGUGUUAUUUCUGGGAAGCGGUAGGACUGAGACAUUAUUUCAUACACAUUGCCCGGGACUGAGACAUUUUUUUCCUUACAUAUUCCCCUGUAUCCAAAGGAGAAGAAAAAACUGAACAUUUAAAUAUUGGGGAUAUGCUUUUUGAAAUACUUGGGUUAUAAUUGUACUGUUUAUAUUUGUUUCAAUCUAAUUGUCAAUUUAUUUUCAUUACUUGAGUGUUUUUUUGAAGUGCCAGAAGAAAAAAAAGGGGAAACCAUUCGCCUAUAUUGCCACAAUAUAUAUAUAUAUUCCUGGCUAAUUGUUCUUCGUGUGUGCCAUUGAUUUUUUUUAUAUAUAUUUCCAUUUAUGGUGUUUUCACAUGUUCUUUGAGAAUCAGAGUACUUGAUUUGAAUGACACGUGCCCUAAAAGCUCCUUGAACGAACUUAGAGGAACAGACAUUUAGAUUUAGAUAAGCCCUG